AUGGAUGUCAACAGAGCCCCCGGCCCUGGUAAUAUUCCUGCUGAAUUUUAUCAAUGCUGUUGGGAUAUAGUUAAGGUUGAUAUAAUGCGUAUCUUUGAUAGCUUCCAUAAAGGUACCUUGGAUGUGCAGCAUCUUAACUAUGGGAUUAUUACUCUGCUGCCCAAGUUAUCUGGAGCUGACCGUAUUCAACAAUUUCGCCCCAUCUGUUUACUUCGUUGUCCAUACAAACUCAUCACAAAAGUUAUGGACAGAAGGGUUGCUAGAUAUGCCAAUAUUCUUAUUAGUCCUACACAGAAUGCUUUU
rnacentral:rRNA from 1 species